rnacentral:lncRNA from 1 species
GAGCAAGAAAGGCCUAUUUAAAAUCUCAGUGGGCGAUUGAUACUUCAGGUUCAAGAUGGCAGACUGAGCAUGCAUGUUUUCUUCCUGUGAGGCCCUGUUUUGUACAAUCCAAUGAAAAGCAAGGCCAACAUAAUGUGAAUGGUAUGUUUAAAAGCCAUGUAUAUUUAUGGAUUUAUGAGCACCUGCUUCCAGCCUUUUGAAGUCAAUUUCAGAUUUGAGAUGAAGAAUCUGAGGCACAAAGAGGUCAACUGGCUUGCCCAAGGGUACUUGGCAGACUGACACUAGAAGAAAUAUUUUAAAAAAUUACUUGAGUGGAAGAAUAUGAUAAUACACAGGAACUUGGAUCCACAAAAAGAAAGAAAGUUCUUCAGAAACAGCUAAAAAGAAACCCCCAUUUCCCAUCUGAGCACCAGCCACAUGACCACCUCUGUAUUGAACAUCUGGACUUUCAACCUGGAUACCCCAGGGGCAUCUCAAAUCAACCUGUCUGGCCUAGACUCAUCCAUCUCCACGUUGCCCUACGUAGACCUGCUUCUCCUCCUGCAUUCCAUAGCUAUCAGAAAUCUCUUGCCUGGAUUAUAGAAACAACACUUGGAAGCCUCAUUUCAGUGAUUGCAGCUUUUGCCCUUAUAUCCGUCCAACUGCACUGAAGCCAAGUUUCUGCAGAACUGGAAGACUGGUUUCUGGGAACCUGGUGAUUGGUCAGUCCAAGUCCAAAGUGGUUGCUCUUCAUGGAUUUGCACAAGUAAAUAUCAACAUUUCAGGCCAACAUUACUUUGUGAAUGCCAAUCCCUGGGCAUAAAUUUUUUUCCCAGCCCCUAUGUUCUUCCCUACCACCAGCCCGACUCAGCACCUGGUGAAAUCUCACUCUGGCUUCCAGGUCCAGCUCAUAUACUUCCUCCUCUGUGCAUCCUUCCCUCACACCCACCCUUCUCCAGUGCAGUUCAUUAUGUCCUCUGCAGUGUACACAGAGGACAUACAUCCCUCUAACAUUGUGGUUACCCUGCUGUGUGCUGAAAGCCACCCUGGUAUCUGCUUGUUUCUCUCUUUUGCACUUGAUGAAAUAUUCACAGGUGGUCACAGUCUCAGUCACCACUGUUUUCAGUAUCAAGCUUGGUGCUGAACAAUUGCUCAGUAAAUGUCCAUCAGAUGAACAGUGGGUACCUACUUGGGAAAACAUAAUAAAAUGUAUUUGUCCUAUCACCUAACUUUAUUUACAAAGGAAUUUUAAAUAGAAUCAUAAAGCGUCAGAAUAGGAAAGAAACCAUGAAGUCACCAGAGGAAGUGGUGGUAACUGUUUCCCAGUGAAAAUCCCCAAAUAGGUUUAUGUGGGCAAAUGAGAAGGAACCUUGGAAAGAUUCCACUGGAAGGCAUUUUGAUUUCCCAGAGUGGGCUGGCCCCUGUAAUGCAAACACAGAUCUGAUCAUGAGCUCUGAGCCGAGCAGACUUGCUCUUUUUGAACCUCCUCCUGCUAGGAUUCCUUGGGCCCUUCAAGGGGCACUCCCAGACUAGGGUAACAGGGGUUUCUCCCACUACAGAAGUGUGGAAUAUUAUGGAAUACUAUAAAGUGACUCUGUUCCCUCCAACCCCUUCACUUCCCGCUUACCUCUCCAUCCACUCUGCCCCCAUUGACUGAUUUCUUCUGGUUCUGAGGAAGUCUCUCCUCCUGACUCAGGAUCAAGGCCAGUCUCAGGCCCUGCACCACCAUCAUUCUCCAUGCCACAGGAGCACCCUCCACUCCUAGGCCCUGCGUGUGGUGGCUGAUCACUACAUGCUUAGCUGGGCCUAGCACAAUGCUGACGCAGGGACAUAUCCUUCUUCACUCUCUGGCAACCCCCUGGACGCAUCUGCCCUUUCAGGAUUUUGUUUCUGACAGUCUACCUCCAGCUGGCUUCUUUUCACUAGUUUCAGCAGAUUUAGGCUGGGUCUAGGUUUAGGGCUCCUGAGAAGUCUCAUUCCCCCUUCCUUCCCUGUGGGAAGGCCGUUUCUUACUUCCUACUGAAGAUGAGAUGUCUUCUCUAGAUUUUAUAGCUCAAAUGUCAAAUAAGGUGGGGUUUAGGCCUUGGGAUCAGCAUGAGGAGAUUUGACUGCCCUCGUUUCCCUCAUUCAAAGCUGUGCGGGUGUCCCCAGGAGCUUGCACCAGCUCUGCCCCAUCUGAGAAUUCCCUUCUGAUUCUCUGUUCAACUUCUUCCAAUUAAUGUGCUCAGGUUGUGAAUAUCACUAUGGGGCUUAAAGCAGUUAAAUUCUUCAAAACAGCUUUUGACUUUUAGCUUCUGGGUUCUCAAAAGUCCCCCAACCCCACCAGCUCCAGGCCCUUAUAUGCAGUUUUUACCCCAUUUAUACACUGCCGUCUGAAACACAGCAGAAAUUGCAUUCAUCCCUCAGAGAGUGUGAAUGUUUUGAGAAAAUUACUCAGCAUUUAAAUGUCAAGAUAAUCAAGACCACACAGCCACAAAUAAUUACAUAAGGAUAGAGAAGAGGCAUCUCCACUACCCAGGCUGCCAGGGCCCUUCCCAGGGCCAGGGAGUCCAGCCCACACGUUUCUCAGGUAAAGAGGAAAUAAACAGCAGCAAUGGACCACGGCCCUACCCCCCAUGGAAGCUCCCCCUGACCUCUCCUGAGGUCUCAUCUGAGGCCCAUAAGUACUUAGACUGGAUGGAUAUCUCACCCUCAUAAAGCCCUCCAUGGCAAUCAGUUUUAUUUUGAAAAUUGUUCUACAUCUCCCCUCUGCUAAGACUUGAAAAAAAAAAAAAAGGAAAAUGCUUAAGGAAAUAUUGCAAUGCUCUUUGAGUCCUGAUGAAGCAGCCAUACUAAUUCACUUCUUCCUUGUGGGAGGUGGUGAAACACCACACAGCUGCUCAAAGCCUAUUUUGGAAGUGGAUGCUGGAGAGCAGCAGCCCCUGGGCACUCCCUCCUCUGAAGGCCUUCACUGUGUUUCAAAUGAAUUGGAGGACUUGAUUCAAGCAGGGAGAUAUUUUCCUGAUUUGUUUUUUAGUGUCAGGGCACUGGCAGCAACUGGAGAUGUUUAAAUUGUGAGACAUCAGGAAGUGAGAGCAUGAGUACUUACACAUAGAUUGGGGGAAGACUCCAACCACAGGAUUUGCAUUUAGAGAGAGGGCUGGGACUAAGAUAUCUGGAUUCCACAGGACCAUUUCUAUUUCAGAGAGAUAUCCUCCUAAUUAAUUUCUUUACAAAUAAAGAGCUGUCCUUAUCCUAAUUAUUAAAAGUGAAGACAGAAACACACUUAUGGCAGGGCGCGGUGGCUCACACCUAUAAUCCCAGCAGUUUUGGAGGCUGAGGUGGGCGGAUCACCUGAGGUUAGGAGUUCGAGACCAGCCUGGCCAACAUGGUGAAACCCCAUCUCUACUAAAAAUACAAAAAAUUAACUGGGCUUGGUGGUACACACCUGUAGUCCUAGGUACUUGGGAGGCUGAGGCAGGAGAAUUGCUUUAGCCUGGGAGGCAGACAUUGCAGUGAGCCGAGAUUGCACCACUGCACUCCAGCCUGGGCAACAGAGGAAGACUCUGUCUCAAAAAAAAAAAAAAACAAAAACAAACAAACAAAAAACAAAAAAAAAACAAAAGAAAGAAAAGAAAAAGAAAAACCCCCCAAAAACGAAACAAAACAAAACAAAAACACUUACGAUGUUCUUGUCAUGGUAAUUGAUAUAAAUUGUCACCUUGCCAAGGUGCCAAGCUCCAUCCUGCACACAGUGGGGAGAUAGCACUCCCACAAGCUCAGACCAAGAUCAGCUAAAUAGGGUACAUGCAAGUCAAUGGCAUCUUGGCAGCUGAGACAGUAGGUGCAUGGGGCAGUCAGAGAGAGUGAGAACUGAGCCUGGUGGUGAGUUGUCUAGGAAAUCAGCAGUCCAUCUACAUAAGGAAUCCACCCUCUAUGACUUUACUGCCUCAUGCACGAUAUUACAUCCUUUAAGGAAGCCUUUAAUUCAUCUAUUGUCAAAACAGUGAAGGCUCAUAAAACUCUUACAGCCCAUUCACACAACUUCUCUUUGAGAAUGCAGCUGGGCACUGAUUUGGUUGAUGGUGUCUGUCUUGAAGCUUCCUAAUCAGACUGCAAAUCUCCCCAUUAGCUCAUCAAUGACCAUGUUACAAAAUCUAUAAGUCAUUUCCCGGGCCUUGUCCUACUUGACCUAUCAGCAGCAUUUGACCUAGCAGACCAUGUGCUUUCCAGGAUACCAUAGUCUCCUGAGUUGGCUCGCCCCUUUUUAUGUCAUUCUUCUUCAUGGAGCUCUCAUUAACCUGAGCUCUAAAACAUUGCAGUCUCCUGGUUCUUAUAAUUCAUAGACCUCUAAGGUGCUGCAUGGAUUUACACUAGGGGGCACAUUCACAUAGAUAUCUUGGUGCUAUCUGGAGUUCUGCAAUGCCCAGUUAUUUACUAAACCAUUGCUGAAGCAUGAUCAUAGACCAAUCAAUGCUGGUCUACCAACUGUUUGCUGCCAGCUCACAACAAGACAAGGACAGAUAUUGAGAGCACUUAUUUAGAAACAUUUAGAGCAAAGUGACAGUGUUGCUGCAUCCACACUACCCCAGUUAGACUCUUCUAGUGUUCAUGAUCUGAUCAGGUACAGACCAGUUUGGGCAUUGUUGAACUCGUGGAGAGACACACGUGAUGUGAGCUGUGUACCGGGCAUGUGAAAUAGGAUAGAGUGUGAUAUUUUCACUUAAAUUAGUCGAGUGAAAGUACAUAAAAUCUGAAUCCAUGUCUUUUAUGGAAAAAUAAUUUCAAUAAAAAAUAAGUAACCCAACUGUAGUUAAUAAUAUUGUAUUGGAUACUUAUAAUUUACUGAGAGUAGAUCUUAAGUGUUCUCACGCACACACAAAAAAAGAUUAUUGUGAGGUGAUGAAUGUGUUAACUAGUUAACCUGCUUGUAUUAAUCAUUUUACAAUGUAUAGGUAUAUUAAAUACCAUGUUGUACACUUUAAAUAUAUACAAUUUUAUUUGUCAAUUAUACUUCAAUAAAGCUGAAAAAAUAUAAUUUAAAUCAACUAACAUGUUAUAGGAUAUGUCAUUGAAUGUGGCUGCUGCUGAAGAAUUGAAGAUGGAUAUUGAAAAUAUAACUUUCAUUUUACAUAAAGGCUAAAUAUGAAUAUCUUGAGCCUAGAGAAUUUGCUUUAAAAUUCUUUCUUCCAUACCCAUCAACCUAUCUCUUCUACCAUGAGUAAUAGUAAAACAAAACAUAGAAAUAAUUUAGGUACACCUUGUCCUCAAUAAGUACUCUUGUCAUCAAUCCAACUUAGAUAAGUUAACAAGGAAGAAGCAAAUUCAUUUGUCCCUUUAAAAAGUUAAAUGUUGAUAUACAGUGAAUGUUCAAAAUGUGUGUAGAGAUUUUGAAAAUGUGAAAUCACUGUCUCAUUCUUAAUGUUUUGCUUAGCUGUAUUUCAAAAGGAUAAAAAAUAAAUGCAAUGCUGUCACUAAUCACCUAUAUGCAUAAUUUCAAUGAGCAAUGCACAGUUUUGGUAAUUUUUUUCUACAUUGUGCUUUUCCUGAUUAUAUUAUUGAAAUGUAUUUUCAUAUCUGUUGAAUAUAUUAAUACAAAUUUGGGCUUGCAUUUUAUAUGUAUUUAUUUUUAUUUCAUUUUCUUUUUCUAGUAAUUUAUUUUAUUUUUACAGAAGUGUCAGACUGCAGUUGACUAGAAACUAACACACACACAGAUACACAUUUAUAGACCUCAGAGGCAAUGCAGCCCUGGAAUUGUGCUAGUCCUUCUAUUUUCUAUGUAUACUUACACUCAUGAUGAUAUCAUCAAAUUUCAUGUCCUUAAAUUCCAUCAAAAUGCCAAUGACUUCCAAAUGUGUCUCUUCAGCCCAGACUUCUCCCCUGAACUCAGCUUUGCUUGUCCAAUUGCCUACUUGACAUUUCCACUAGGAUGAGUAACCAAUCCAAAACUGAACUUUUGAUCUUCCCCUAUUCCCACUCAGGAUGCUCUCCUUGUGCAAAACUUCGUCAUCUCAGUAAAUGAAAAGAACAUCUUUCUAGGAGCUCAGGCGAAACGCUCAAGAGUCGUAGUUGACUCUUCUCUUUUUCUCACAGUUCACAUCUAGUCUCUAUUGAAAUUAUCUUGGCUCCACCUACGAAAUACAUCCAGAAUUUAACCACUUCUCACCACCUCCAUUUCCAUUAUGCUAAUCCUAGCAUGUAUCCCCCGUGUCUGGAUUACUGCAAUGAUCUCCUAAACAAUCUCUCUGCUUUCAUUCUGUCUUCCAGUCUCUUCUCAGCUGAGCAGCUAGAAUGAACACUUCAAAGCAAAAGACACUAUGUCACUUCUCUGCUCAAAUCAUUCCAUCUGACUCAGUCUAAAAGUCAAUUGCAAUGACCUUUCAUACCAUGGGUGGUCUGCUCUCUUCCUUUGUCCACUAGGACCCAACCACACUGGCUUCCUUAUUGUUCAUCACAUGCUUCUGCCUUGGGGGCUUUGCACUCAUUGUUUCCUAUUUCUACACUCUUUUUUUUUUAAUUUAAUUUUUACUUUAGAUUCAGGAGGUACAUAUGCAGGCUUAUCACAAGGUUAUAUUGUGUGAGUCUGCAGUUUGGGCUUCUAUUGAUCUUGUUACCCAGAGAGUGAACACAGUACUAAUAGAAAGUUUUUCAGCCCUGCGUCCCUCCCUUCUCCCAUCUUUUGGAGUCCCUCAUGUCUGUUGUUUUCGUCUUUAUGUCCAUAUGUACCCAAGGUUUAGCUCCCACUUGUAAAUAAGAACAUGUGAUAUUUGGUUUUCUGUUAAUUUGCUUAGGCAAAUGGCCUCCAGCUGCACCCAUGUUGCUGUAAAACACACGAUUUCAUUUCUGGUACAUUAUUGACCAACAGAUCCCCUUAGCUUGCUCUCCAGUCUCCUACAGGUAUUUGCCUAAAUGUCAUCACCUCAGUGAGGCUUUUUAUUUUUAGAACCUACGUAAAUUUGCAUCCCUCCGGCUUCACCUCUUCCCUUUUCCUGCAGUAUUUUUCUCCACAGAACUUAAUACUUUCUAAUACACUGUAUAAUUUACUUUUUAAAGCUUGUCACUAGAAUAUAAGCUCCACAAGGGUAAGAAUUUUAUAUCUUUUGUUCAUUGCUGACUUCCUAGCAUCUACAACAGAGGUUAAAACUCUAAUAAGUACGCGCCCUUCUAAUUAUGAGAUCUGUUAUUUGACUGUGAGCCCCUGAUGAGGAGAUGAAACGCACUGCAACAUUUUGACUGCUCUGCUUACCCCAGUGCCAUGCAAAGAACAAGGAUUCAUGCAUACUUAUUAAAAAAAUGAAUCAAGUCUGUCUGGGAACAUUGCAAAUAAUAAGAAUGUACCACCAGACCUCCUGGUUCCUAUUAUCUCAUUUUGAAGAUGAGACAUCUGCAAAGUCAAAAGAUUUCUCUGGAUGUGAGAGACAAACAGUAACUUCUGUGUAGUUCUGGGAAGGAGGCAUCAUAGAGCAGGUGUGUUUUGAGUUCCAGUCCUCAGCAAGAGAGAGAGAAAAAAGAUUACUCAUAGAGAGGUAGGAAAAGGUUUUAAUAAAGUAUAAUUUCCAAGAAUUUGAGUAAGUUCUCUUAGGCCUAAUAUCCCUUUCCAACUUUGAGGACUUGCCCUACUGUCAGAAAUCUCCACAUUUUCUUUACUCUUCUAAAAAGUAACAUCUAGAAGUGAAACUUCUCGCCCCCAUGAGAUUAAAAUUAUAUCAA